CUGCUAACCACUCAUCUUCUUACUGUCUCCGUACUUAGGCAUUUCCUGGAAUGUCAUGUAGUUGGAGCCAUAUAGUAUGCAACCUUUGUAGAUUGGCUUCUUUCUUUUUUUUUUUUUUUUUUGAGACGGGGUUUCGCUCUUGUUACCCAGGCUGGAGUGCAAUGGCGAGAUCUCGGCUCACUGCAACCUCCGCCUCCUGGGUGCACGCAGUCACCCCUGGCUAACUUUUGUAUUUUUAGUAGAGAUGGGGUUUCACCAUAUUCGCCAGGCUGGUCUCGAACUCCUGACCUCAUGAUCUGCCUGCCUCAGCUUCCCAAAGAGCUGGGAUUACAGGUGUGAGCCACUGUGUCCAAACAGUCACUUAAAAGGAGUCUUUUUUAGCUUCAUUAUAAUGUCAAAAUGUAUAUGGAGAAGACAAAUUUGUCAUGCAUGGCGUACAAGCAAAAUCUGUAACUGACGACAUGUUGAUUUUAUCCGUACCCCUCUGUGCUUAAUACCAGGUUCUCUAUUUGCCUACUUCCAUUUUCGUUGUUCAGUCUUUGAUUCUCAGAUCUCUAAGAUCAUCGUUAUUUGAUGGUCUAAAAUACAAUGCAAAAGAAUUACAACAUGGAAGUGUAAUGUUGUCAAUUACAAGAUUUCGUUAAAUCCAAGAGAAGUGCUGGGAACAGCUCUACCCACAUGCAGAUUCGUUAAAAAACAAGUUAGACUUUGAACUGAAAAAGGAAAAUCAAUAACGGUUAUCCUGUGUUUCUACUACCAGAUAUUUCCAUUCCAUUCUAUUCGAGACUUCAGAAAUGUGCCACGUACCUACUAAGCUAAGUGCUGGGUACACGGUGUCUCAAGAACAGGUGUAGCUUUGCUGGUCACAGUGAGGACGUUUUGUUGAACGCACAGAACAAAGUGCCAUCUGAUAACUUCUUAUUUUGCUUACUUCGAUUGUCUGCCUCUCCCCACGAGAACGUGUUCUCAUUAAAGACAGAAACUUCUGUGCUUUCUCCCUGUGUACCUCUAGCAGUGGGACUAAAGCCUGCCAAACAUUAAGUGCUCUUAAACUUUUCAUUAAAUGAAUGUGCGACUGAAUGAUUGAGUAGAGAUGAAGCCUCACUAUGUUGCCCAGGCUGGUCUCGAACACUUGAGCUCAAGUAACUACCUACUUCUGUCUCCCAAAAUGCUGGAAUUACAGGCAUGAGCCACUGCUCCUGGAAUAAAUUAUCUUCUUAAUGGAACUUUUCCCUUGAC
rnacentral:lncRNA from 13 species